UCGGGAAUAUUGGGACAAUGGGCGAAAGCCUGAUCCAGCAACGCCGCGUGCGGGACGAAGGCCCUCGGGUCGUAAACCGCUGUCAGGAGGGAGGAACGGUGCGUGGUUAAGAGCUGCGUACUUUGACAGUACCUCCAGAGGAAGCCCCGGCUAACUCCGUGCCAGCAGCCGCGGUAAUACGGAGGGGGCGAGCGUUAUUCGGAAUUAUUGGGCGUAAAGGGCGCGUAGGCGGCCCGAUAAGUCCAAGGUGAAAGCCCUCGGCUCAACCGAGGAACUGCCUUGGAUACUGUCGGGCUCGAGGCUGGAAGAGGGUGAUGGAAUUCCCGGUGUAGCGGUGAAAUGCGUAGAUAUCAGGAGGAACACCCGUGGCGAAGGCGGCUGUCUGGACCAGUUCUGACGCUGAGGCGCGAAAGCGU
rnacentral:rRNA from 1 species